CAACUUGGAGUUAUUGGGACAUCAAUUAUGAACUUUGUUGAAAGAAACCACAUUUGCAGUGGACCUGGGAUGCGUGGAAUUGCCAAUAGAUGAAGAGAAUCAAAGGGUGGGAGUCCCGGGCUCCGCCAGAGGAGGAGGAAACCGGCCAAGCUGAGAUUGGGACCAAACGGAAUGUUCGGACAGGUGACAUCAUCCAUCCGCGUCCCAAGGUUGGGUUGGCCACCUCUCCUGCCUCGUUACUCAACACGUUCGGAACGUCCCCUCUUAACACUGUUGUGAUUGCGCUGAUUAGUAUUAUUGUUAGCACGAACACCGAGCUGGCCCGCUAUAUGGUGUCAGCCCUGGAAAAACGGUGGGAAAGGCCAAAUUAAGUUUUUAGAAUAAUUUGUUAUUGUCCAAGUUUCAUUAAAACUGUAUUACCUGAACACUUGUGGCUUGAGUCAGAGUUGAGAUAAGGGAACACAACUCAGACUUUUGCGUAUGUCAUUCAUUGUGGAAGACAUUAUCAUUAAUGCCGCCCAUUUACUACGCAAUAUCAGUGGUGGAAAAGUACCCUAUUGUCAUUCUUGAGUAAAAGUAAAGUAAAGUAAAAUGAAAGUAAAAGUAAAAAAGUGAAAGUCACCCAGUAAAAUGCCUCUUGAGUAAAAGUCUAAAAGUAUUUGGUUUUAAAUAUACUUAAGUAGUGAAGUAAAAGUAAAAGUAAUCAAAAAUAUAAAUAGUACAGUACAGAUACCACAAAAAACUACUUAAGUAGUACUUUAAAGUAAUAUUUACUUAAGUACUUUACACCACUGCGCAAUACUACAACCUUGCCAUCUCUGAGUGAACCAACACUACAGUAAGAUAGAACAGUUAGUCCAGGAAUCAUCAACUAGAUUCAGCCGCAGGCCGAUUUUUUUUUGUUGCGUGGAUGUCGGGAGGCCAGAACAUAAUGACAAAUAAUUUGUAGACUGCAAAUAGACCACAAGAAGCCCAAACAGAUAUAACAUUUGACUAAGACAAUAAUUUCAAAUCUUGCUUACAUUUGUAUACCACCACGUGUAUCUCUAUUAUGCGUGGGAAUACUUGGGAACAGAGGGGGGGACCACCCAUGGGUUAAAUUCAGCCGGCGGGCCGCCAUUUGGGGAACACUGAGUUAGUCCAUAAAGAUAGAUCUCUUGCCAUAUUCAAACCAAGCCAGUAGACAUGUUUUCGAAACAUCACUGUUUUCUCUCGGCAUGUUUGGUUUCAUGUGCUAACCCUUUACGCUUGUGGGAAUUAGCCUAUAUGGAUAGGGCUAUAUUGGAAAUGUCUCUUACAGAAGAAAUAGGAAAAGCAUAUGCAUAAGCAUGGUAUCAAUUGAAAGGGAAACGUUUGGAGAUUAUAGAACAAUCAUUAGACCAAACAGUUCACCUGACACAAGACUGAAUCCAAACAUUACACUGUUGAUUUUUUUUACAAAUUUUACAUUUACUGUACUUUUCGCCGCAUUUGUUGAUAACGAAAUCUGAAAAUAAUCUGGAUACAUUCAGUAACAUGAAAACAAUAUUCCUGGAAAAUGUGGGGUAGGUGCAACAUAAGUGUUACGGGCGUCAUAUAGAGGAGACCAAGGCGCAGCAUGUAGAGUGCUCAUCGUUAUACACUGCUCAAAACAAUAAAGGGAACACUUAAACAACACAAUGUAACUCCAAGUCAAUCACACUUCUGUGAAAUCAAACUGUCCACUUAGGAAGCAACACUGAUUGACAAUAAAUUUCACAUGCUGUUGUGCAAAUGGAAUAGACAACAGGUGGAAAUUAUAGGCAAUUAGCAAGACACCCCCAAUAAAGGAGUGGUUCUGCAGGUGGGGACCACAGACCACUUCUCAGUUCCUAUGCUUCCUGGCUGAUGUUUUGGUCACUUUUGAAUGCUGGCGGUGCUUUCACUCUAGUGGUAGCAUGAGACGGAAUCUACAACCCACACAAGUGGCUCAGGUAGUGCAGCUCAUCCAGGAUGGCACAUCAAUGCGAGCUGUGGCAAGAAUGUUU
rnacentral:lncRNA from 1 species